rnacentral:lncRNA from 1 species
UACCUCAGAAAACAAGUAGCCAGGAAAAAGAAGGAAACAAAAGGAAGAAAGGAGAAGGAAGGUAGGAAAAGAAACAAAAACCACUGAAGUGAGUAAAAGGGAAGUAAGCACUUAGAAUCACAGCUGUGGAGCUGUAAGGUGACUUCAGUGGAUGCUGUCCUCUUCCUGUCUCACUUCUGUCUCAGUUUCUCAUUUCUCACAAAGGAACACCUCGAGUUGAUUGUGCUGUCAUUGAGCAGCGAUUCAUUGUUGGUCAUAUUCAGAUAACCUCGCCUGGACUCUGGUCCCCUUCAUGAAGCCCUGAAUUGCAGAAGCUCAGCAAUUGUACAGAUGAGCCAUUCCAUUAAUGCAAGCGGGAACUUCUCAAGAGCAGAAAAGACAGUUGAAAGCAAGAACUGCUACAGUUAUCUCAGGGAUCAUUGACCAUUAUCUGAAAUGCAGCAGAAACGCACAACAUUCACAGAUGCGAGUAGGGACAUGAGUGAGGUGUUCGUGGCAUCAGCCCUGGAGAAAGAAGAUUCUCGCUACAGAAGAAAGAGAAGUUAACUUAAAAUUACAGCACAAAAAAAUAAAAAAUGCAAUAGAAUGCUAUAUGCA